rnacentral:tRNA from 1 species
UUGUUUGUAGCUCAGUGGUAGAGCACUUGCCUGGCAUGUAUGAGGUACUGAGUUCAAGUCUCAGCACCAUAUAAA